rnacentral:misc_RNA from 1 species
AAGGAGCAUCUCUUUCGCUCGCCGCACACAGGUGUGGUUGAGGAAAGCAGAGGCCAUUUCGUUCCCGUAUGUGGAACGGUGGUUGCUCAUGGGUGGACGCUGACAAACUUCCUCGCAUUACGUCAGAUCACAUGAUCUGCCGGCGAGUGCAAUAUAUCGACAUACUGUUGGGUCCUGAGAGAACACGUGAGUGUUUCCUCGAAGGAAGUAACGACAACGCUGGAAUGUGGGUCAUACCGCGGAGUUGCGAUGGUUUCGAUCAUUGUUUUCUUCGGCUGGUGCUCACGGGAGUUCUGGGGUUGUGUGUUGUUUGAGAACUGCACAGUGGACGCGAGCAUCUUUGUU